rnacentral:rRNA from 1 species
UGACGGUACCUCUUGAAUAAGCUCCGGCUAACUACGUGCCAGCAGCCGCGGUAAUACGUAGGGGGCAAGCGUUGUCCGGAAUGACUGGGCGUAAAGGGCGUGUAGGCGGCCGAUUAAGUCUGAAGUGAAAGUCCUGCUUUCAAGGUGGGAAUUGCUUUGGAGACUGGUUGGCUUGAGUGCGGAAGAGGUAAGUGGAAUUCCCAGUGUAGCGGUGAAAUGCGUAGAGAUUGGGAGGAACACCAGUGGCGAAGGCGACUUACUGGGCCGUAACUGACGCUGAGGCGCGAAAGCGUGGGUAGCAAACAGGAUUAGAUACCCUG